GCCGGCUUAGCUCAGUUGGUAGAGCUGCUGUUUUGUAAACAGCGGGUCGGGGGUUCGAUUCCUCUAGCCGGCU
rnacentral:tRNA from 1 species